rnacentral:rRNA from 1 species
UCUGUUAAGGAUGUGAGGAGGAAGACGCAGUGAACUGAAACAUCUAAGUAGCUGCAGGAAGAGAAAGCAAAAGCGAUUGCCUUAGUAGCGGCGAGCGAAACGGCAGAAGGGCAAACCGAAGAGUUUACUCUUCGGGGUUGUAGGACUGCAAUGUGGACUCAAAGAUUAUAGAAGAAUGAUUUGGGAAGAUCAGCCAAAGAGAGUAAUAGCCUCGUAUUUAAAAUAGUCUUUGUACUUAGCAGUAUCCUGAGUACGGCGGGACACGUGAAAUCCCGUCGGAAUCUGGGAGGACCAUCUCCCAACCCUAAAUACUCCCUAGUGACCGAUAGUGAACCAGUACCGUGAGGGAAAGGUGAAAAGCACCCCGGGAGGGGAGUGAAAUAGAACCUGAAACCGUGUGCCUACAACAAGUUCGAGCCCGUUAAUGGGUGAGAGCGUGCCUUUUGUAGAAUGAACCGGCGAGUUACGUUAUGAUGCGAGGUUAAGUUGAAGAGACGGAGCCGUAGGGAAACCGAGUCUGAAUAGGGCGCCUUAGUAUCAUGACGUAGACCCGAAACCAUGUGACCUACCCAUGAGCAGGUUGAAGGUGCGGUAAGACGCACUGGAGGACCGAACCAGGGCACGUUGAAAAGUGCUUGGAUGACUUGUGGGUAGCGGAGAAAUUCCAAACGAACUUGGAGAUAGCUGGUUCUCUCCGAAAUAGCUUUAGGGCUAGCGUCGACAUUAGAGAUUCUUGGAGGUAGAGCACUGUUUGGGUGAGGGGUCCAUCCCGGAUUACCAAUCUCAGAUAAACUCCGAAUGCCAAUGAAUUAUGGUCGGCAGUCAGACUGCGAGUGCUAAGAUCCGUAGUCGAAAGGGAAACAGCCCAGACCACCAGCUAAGGUCCCAAAAUAAUUGUUAAGUGGAAAAGGAUGUGGGGUUGCACAGACAACUAGGAUGUUAGCUUAGAAGCAGCUAUUCAUUCAAAGAGUGCGUAAUAGCUCACUAGUCGAGUGACCCUGCGCCGAAAAUGUACCGGGGCUAAAACAAUUUACCGAAGCUGUGGAUACCUUUAUAGGUAUGGUAGGAGAGCGUUCUAUGUGUGAUGAAGGUAUACCGUGAGGAGUGCUGGAACGCAUAGAAGUGAGAAUGCCGGUAUGAGUAGCGAAAGACAGGUGAGAAUCCUGUCCACCGUAAGACUAAGGUUUCCAGGGGAAGGCUCGUCCGCCCUGGGUUAGUCGGGACCUAAGGAGAGACCGAAAGGUGUAUCCGAUGGACAACAGGUUGAUAUUCCUGUACUAGAGUAUGUAGUGAUGGAGGGACGCAGUAGGCUAACUAAAGCAGACGAUUGGAAGAGUCUGUCUAAGCAGUGAGGUGUGAAUUGAGUCAAAUGCUUAAUUCUAUAACAUUGAGCUGUGAUGGGGAGCGAAGUUUAGUAGCGAAGUUAGUGACGUCACACUGCCAAGAAAAGCUUCUAGCGUUUAAACAUACUCUACCCGUACCGCAAACCGACACAGGUAGUCGAGGCGAGUAGCCUCAGGUGAGCGAGAGAACUCUCGUUAAGGAACUCGGCAAAAUGACCCCGUAACUUCGGGAGAAGGGGUGCUGACUUAAAGUCAGCCGCAGUGAAUAGGCCCAAGCAACUGUUUAUCAAAAACACAGCUCUCUGCUAAAUCGUAAGAUGAUGUAUAGGGGGUGACGCCUGCCCGGUGCUGGAAGGUUAAGAGGAGUGCUUAGCGUAAGCGAAGGUAUGAAUUGAAGCCCCAGUAAACGGCGGCCGUAACUAUAACGGUCCUAAGGUAGCGAAAUUCCUUGUCGGGUAAGUUCCGACCCGCACGAAAGGCGUAAUGAUUUGGGCACUGUCUCAACGAGAGACUCGGUGAAAUUUUAGUACCUGUGAAGAUGCAGGUUACCCGCGACAGGACGGAAAGACCCCAUGGAGCUUUACUGCAGUUUGAUAUUGAGUGUCUGUACCACAUGUACAGGAUAGGUAGGAGUCUAAGAGAUCGGGACGCCAGUUUCGAAGGAGACGCUGUUGGGAUACUACCCUUGUGUUAUGGCCACUCUAACCCAGAUAGGUGAUCCCUAUCGGAGACAGUGUCUGACGGGCAGUUUGACUGGGGCGGUCGCCUCCUAAAAGGUAACGGAGGCGCCCAAAGGUUCCCUCAGAAUGGUUGGAAAUCAUUCGCAGAGUGUAAAGGUAUAAGGGAGCUUGACUGCGAGAGCUACAACUCGAGCAGGGACGAAAGUCGGGCUUAGUGAUCCGGUGGUUCCGUAUGGAAGGGCCAUCGCUCAACGGAUAAAAGCUACCCUGGGGAUAACAGGCUUAUCUCCCCCAAGAGUUCACAUCGACGGGGAGGUUUGGCACCUCGAUGUCGGCUCGUCGCAUCCUGGGGCUGUAGUCGGUCCCAAGGGUUGGGCUGUUCGCCCAUUAAAGCGGCACGCGAGCUGGGUUCAGAACGUCGUGAGACAGUUCGGUCCCUAUCCGUCGCGGGCGUAGGAAAUUUGAGAGGAUCUGACUCCUAGUACGAGAGGACCAGAGUGGACUUACCGCUGGUGUACCAGUUGUCUUGCCAAAGGCAUCCGCUGGGUAGCUAGUGUAGGGAAGGGAUAAACGGCUGAAAGCAUCUAAGUGUGAAACCCACCUCAAGAUGAGAUUUCCCAUGAUUAUAUAUCAGUAAGAGCCCUGAGAGAUGAUCAGGUAGAUAGGUUAGAAGUGGAAGUGUGGCGACACAUGUAGCGGACUAAUACUAAUAGCUCGAGGACUUAUCCAA